GCAGGACCUCAGGGAGAAAAUUUCCCAGUCCGUGACAUAGGGGAGAGAAAAGAAAAGAAGGUGGAAGAGAGAAAAGAGAAAGAAGGCAGGUAAACAAAGUCAAGGCCUUCUGGAGGAGUUUGGAGUCCUGGAGUGGAGGGAAAGGGAAAAUUCUGGAAGGAUUUCAGAUAAAACCCAAUGUACUGGAAACCUCAUAUUUCAGGUAUCCUAUUUCACUGUGAAUGGACUGUGAAGGAGGGCAGGGAUAGAGUGCUCAGAAUGAAGUAAAGAGACGGCAGGUGAGUUCAAAGAGAACAACUGCAUGGAAAUGUGCUCCGGUACCAAAACCCUUAGCAUUUCAUAUAGCACUGAUUUUCUUGAAAACACUCAAGAAGUUCUCAGAAGUCACAUGAAGCAAAGCUGAGCGGUUGACUUUGAAACAGUGGUUGGAUUGUACUCUAAACACUUAACACCUCAGAUCAGCUGCACAAUGGCAUAGGAUACUACUUCCAGACAAAGGGUAAGGAAAAAAUGCAUACAUUUGCAGUCUCAACAGAAAUAUAGGAAUACAUUUUUUUCAGUUUCGUUUUACACACAUAGACACAAUCAAACUGAAAUCCACAAGGACAGAAUAUAAGUCAUUAUAUAAUUAUUUUCAUUUGUAUUACAUGAUGAGUUUCACGAUACAUGGAUUAUCUGUUUUAAUGCAUCAGACAGUUUGGAACCACGUAAAGCAGUAAAAUAUAAAAUAAUAUAACAGUUACGUUAAAGUCAGGAAUGUUACAUGGCCAGUACAUCCAAUAUGACACUGAAAGACAGUCAAAGCAUGAGACACGGUAGGUAUCUUUCAUUUCUAAACAAUAAGCAGCUUUGGAGAAAGGACUGUAGGACAAGAAGGGGAGGUAGUUACUUCUGAAAAUUCAAAAACAUCUUACCAGAAAUUUUAUAAAACAAAUUAUUUUUCAGAGGUAUCUUUGCC